AGGAAACAUGUUUCCAUCCGUGUCCGUUGCCGAAGACUCGCAGUCGACUAUUUUCUCUCGAUUUCACUUCUAUCGAAGAAGCCGCCAUUUGUCAGUGUCGCUUUGCCUCGAAGCCACCUUCUUCCUCGUCGCCCUGAAAGAUGGUAAUUGGCAGAGUCCUGAGAAGCCCGACUCGCCUCAAGGACCUCUGCCUAAUCCUCUCCUCUCUUUUCAUCUUCUACCUCCUCCUCCACCACCACCCCCCUCCGCCGCCGCCCACCACCCUCCCCUACUCCGCCACCACCUCCCCAACCUCUCUCCGCCACCUCCUCUUCUCCAUCGCCGCCUCCUCCCGCUCGUUCCCCGCCCGCUGCCCCUACCUCCGCCUCUGGCACCGCCCGAACUCCACCCGUACCGUCGUCUUCCUCGACCGCCCAAUCUCGCUCUCCCCCUCCCCGUCCGACACCCCCGUCCUCCUCUCCGCCCCCUUCCCCGGCGGCCCCGCCGCCCGCAUCGCCCGUGUCGUCAAGGAGACCGUCCUCCUCAACCAGUCCGACGUCCGCUGGUUCGUCUUCGGCGACGACGACACUGUGUUUUUCACCGCUAAUUUGGUCCGGACGCUCUCCAGAUACGAUCACGAUCAGUGGUACUAUGUGGGGAGUUGGUCGGAGAGUUAUGGCCAGAACUUGAGGCACUCGUUUGAGAUGGCGUAUGGGGGCGGAGGCUUCGCCAUCAGCCACUCUCUGGCUAGGGUUUUGGCCGGAGUUUUGGACUCGUGUCUGAUUAGAUACGCCCAUUUGUACGGAAGCGAUGCUAGGGUUUUCUCUUGCUUGGCGGAGCUUGGCGUGGGUUUGACUCAUGAACCUGGCUUUCAUCAGGUUGAUAUUCGAGGAGAUAUUUUUGGACUGCUUUCAGCACAUCCACUUUCACCUUUGUUGUCUCUACAUCAUUUUGAAGCCCUGGAGCCAAUCUUUCCUAACAUGACCAGGAAUCAAGCUUUUGAGCAUCUCUUCAAAGCUGUGAAUGUUGAUCCUGGUAGAAUAUUGCAGCAAACUGUCUGUUAUGACCCUUUAAACAUUUUAACUGUUUCAGUUGCUUGGGGUUAUGCCAUUCAGGUCUUUGAAGGCAAUUAUCUCCUUCCAGAACUUCUUCAGUUGCAGAACACUUUUAGGCCAUGGAGAAGAAAGAGGGAUAUUAUCUCAAACCUUUAUAUGUUUAAUUCAAGAGAGUACCCAAAUGACCCGUGCAAAAGACCUCUUGUGUUUUUUAUGGAAACUGUUGCUUCUGAUUCUAAAAAAGUCUGGACUGACUACACCAGGCACAUAAUUGGAAAUUGUUCAAGAUCCCCGGAACUGCUUAAUUUGGAAAAUAUCAAAGUGUUCUCACAAAAACCAGAUUUUGAAUAUGGAGAGGUAAAGGUUCUCCGUCGUCAAUGCUGUGAUAUUUUACCAUCUUUUAGUCGAACGAUGGUAAUUAGUAUCAGACAAUGUGGAGUUGGUGAACUGAUUUCAAUGCAGACAUAGAAACUCCUGGAACUGCUGUUUCCAAGAUUGUUAUACAAGUUUAUAUGGAACUUGGAGUCGGUUGCAUUUUAGUCUCUUGACAGAUAUUCUCUAACAUGAGUUAUUUGGUGAGCUUGAUUGGCAUGGAUGAAGAUAGUUAAGAAUCGAUGGGAUGAAGGAUCCAGAGAACUUCUCUUGCAGUUGUUUCUCGAUCAGCAGAAGUGGGUUUUUUUCUUUGAUCACAGUUCCAAAAGCCUUACUAUCUCUUUAUUCCAUUGAUGAAUUCAAAGAAUGUUGUUAUUGUCGUUGAUUGAUUGAGGAAUUUGAAGUAUGGAUAAACACAAAAAGCUUCGAUCCCAUCUCAGCAAGCAGCCGAUAACUUCUAACACAAAGUACAAAGGAUUUGGUGUCGAGUGUAAACAGUUUGUGGCGGCAUGCACUCAUUUUCUCUUAGAUUUAAAUUUUUUUAGAACAGAUGCUGAGCUGAAUAACCUUGUAAAUUUAGUCUGUAAUGAUAAACAAGGACCGGUUUUGCUGCAGGAUUCUUAAGUCAACAUGGAUUCUCAAUGUGUUGCUUCCAUGUCUCUUGCUGUAAGAUUUUCAAAGAAAUACAUGGAUUGGCCGGAGUAUGCCUUUAUGCU